rnacentral:rRNA from 1 species
AGUUCGAUCCUGGCUCAGAUUGAACGCUGGCGGGAUGCUUUACACAUGCAAGUCGAACGGCAGCACGGACUUCGGUCUGGUGGCGAGUGGCGAACGGGUGAGUAAUGUAUCGGAACGUGCCCUAGUAGCGGGGGAUAACUACGCGAAAGCGUAGCUAAUACCCGCAUACGCCCUUCGGGGAAAGCGGGGGACCUUCGGGCCUCGCACUAUUAGAGCGGCCGAUAUCGGAUUAGCUAGUUGGUGGGGUAACGGCUCACCAAGGCGACGAUCCGUAGCUGGUUUGAGAGGACGACCAGCCACACUGGGACUGAGACACGGCCCAGACUCCACUACGGGGAGGCAGCAGUGGGGGUACGGACAAUGGAAACUCAGUCCAGCCAUCCCGCGUGUGCGAUGAAGGCCUUCGGGUUGUAAAGCACUUUUGGCAGGAAAGAAACGGCACGGGAUAAUACCCGAUGCAACUGACGGUACCUGCAGAAUAAGCACCGGCUAACUACGUGCCAGCAGCCGCGGUAAUACGUAGGGUGCAAGCGUUAAUCAGGUACUGGGCGUAAAGCGUGCGCAGGCGGUUCGAGGAAGAAGAUGUGAAAUCCCAGAGCUUAACUUUGGGAACUGCAUUUUUAACUACCGAGCUAGAGUGUGUCAGAGGAGGUGGAAUUCCGCGUGUAGCAGUGAAAUGCGUAGAUAUGCGGAGGAACACCGAUGGCGAAGGCAGCCUCCUGGGAUAACACUGACGCUCAUGCACGAAAGCGUGGGAGCAAACAGGAUUAGAUACCCUGGUAGUCCACGCCCUAAACGAUGUCAACUAGCUGUUGGGGCCUUCGGGCCUUGGUAGCGCAGCUAACGCGUGAAGUUGACCGCCUGGGGAAGCUACGGUCGCAAGAUUAAAACUCAAAGGAAUUAUUGGGGACCCGCACAAGCGGUGGAUGAUGUGGAUUAAUUCGAUGCAACGCGAAAAACCUUACCUACCCUUGACAUGUCUGGAAUCCCGAAGAGAUUUGGGAGUGCUCGCAAGAGAACCGGAACACAGGUGCUGCAUGGCUGUCGUCAGCUCGUGUCGUGAGAUGUUGGGUUAAGUCCCGCAACAGGCGCAACCCUUGUCAUUAGUUGCUACGAAAGGGCACUCUAAUGAGACUGCCGGUGACAAACCGGAGGAAGGUGGGGAUGACGUCAGAGUCACCAUGGCCCUUAUGGGUAGGGCUUCACGUCAUACAAUGGUCGGGACAGAGGGUCGCCAACCCGCGAGAGGAGCCAAUCCCAGAAACCCGAUCGUAGUCCGGAUCGCAGUCUGCAACUCGACUGCGUGAAGUCGGAAUCGCUAGUAAUCGCGGAUCAACAUGUCGCGGUGAAUACGGUCCCGGGUCUUGUACACACCGCCCGUCACACCAUGGGAGUGGGUUUUACCAGAAUGAUUAGCCUAACCGUAAGGAGGGCGAUUACCACGGUAGGAUUCAUGACUGGGGUGAAGUCGUAACAAGGUAG